rnacentral:lncRNA from 10 species
UUGAGAUUUUUCAAGGACUUACUAUGUUCAAGAUCUUAUAAUGACAUAAUUAUUGUUUAAUUAUUGUUGGUAGUAGUAUAGUAGUAAUUGUAGCAACUAUCUUUUAAUGAGAGCCUUCUUAAAGGCCAGGCACUGUGCUGAGACGUUUACACAAAUUAUCUGAUUAUAAUUAUUGCAAGAAAUUCACAAAGGAACUGAAGAAUAGUGUGCUGGUGAAUCAGUUCUCUGUUGGGGAGGUGGGGGCAGAGCCCUGCUGUGUAGUGUUUGCUGAUUUCUCUAGUGUAAAUGCUCCCACCGUGGCCAAUUUUAAGCUGCCAACAAUGUAACAACCUGCUCACAAAAUUUAUGAGUAUACAACAAUCAGCCUUCGUGAACCAGUGCAAGCUGGUUCCAGCACAUCACUGAAACUCAGGUACAGAAGGUUUGACCAAGAUCACCCAACUAUUAAGGGACAGAACUGAGAUAUCUGCUCAAGAACUCAAUAUACUGCUCUAAAUCUAUAAACCCAUCAGCUAUUUCAAUCCACAUAACAAAUCCAUGUAGCAUGCAUUACAAGAGACCUCUGACUUUCAGGAGUUAAACAAAAGAGCUGCCCAGCAUCACACACCUGUGAUGGGACCGGAUUCAGGCAUGGCCUGUCUGAGCUCACAGCAGAGGCCCUGGUGCCAGCCAAUAACAAAUGAAAAAGCUGGAAUGAAUAUUUAUCACAUCUUUGUUUUCCCUUGAAGAGUGGAGAAAAUCAAAAAUGAAAGCAAUCCAUAUCCCGAAGAAAUCCAUCUCUAUUGGUAUCAUCUCAGACAUUGGUCAUCGUAUUUGGGGAAGCAGCCUGACUGGGUUCCUGAAAUCACACCACAGAGAGAGCCCACCAGAGCAUAUAAUAGUCGCUGCUCCAAGAAGGCUGAGAUUCUAGGAUGCACGCACAGCCCACUCUCAACUCAUGACCUCCUCUGUGCCCAGGGAGCAGAACCUGCUAAUGAGAGGAACAGAAAAACCCACACAGAAAACGUUAUAAAGAGGAGACAAGAAACAGCUCAGAUAUCGAACUACCGUAUUUCCUGAUAUGCAAGAAUCAGAGGUAUACAAGAAACUACUCUCAUUUUACAAGGACAUUAUGGGAAGGAAGGAAGGAGAACCAGAAUAGAUUUCAUCAUCCAUGUGUUUAUAAUUAUUUUCAAUUGCAUUUAUAAUGACAGUUUUUUUGUUUAUGCUCAUGCAAGUAUGUUUAUACUGAAAUGAUACAAAUUCUUUUGCACCACUGAAAACCAAAUUA